rnacentral:rRNA from 1 species
AUUGAACGCUGGCGGCAGGCCUAACACAUGCAAGUCGAACGAGUGGCGGACGGGUGAGUAAUGUCUGGGAACCUGCCUGAUGGAGGGGGAUAACUCCUGGAAACGGUAGCUAAUACCGCAUACCAUCAGAUGUGCCGAUAUGGGAUUAGCUAGUUGGUGGGGUAACGGCUCACCAAGGCGACGAUCCCUAGCUGGUCUGAGAGGAUGACCAGCCACACUGGAACGGAGACACGGUCCAGACUCCUACGGGAGGCAGCAGUGGGGAAUAUUGCACAAUGGGCGCAAGCCUGAUGCAGCCAUCCCGCGUGUAUGAUGAAGGCCUUCGGGUUGUAAAGUACUUUCAGCGGGGAGGCGUUACCUGCAGAAGAAGCACCGGCUAACUCCGUGCCAGCAGCCGCGGUAAUAC